rnacentral:RNase_P_RNA from 1 species
UGAGUCGGCCGGGCGGUCGCGUUGAACUUCGGUUCACCGAGGAAAGUCCGGACUCCACAGAGCAACGGUGGUGGCUAACGGCCACCCACGGCAACGUGCGGGACAGUGCCACAGAAAUCAGACCGCCAGCGGCCUUCGCCCGAUCGUGAGCGAGCAUGCUCGCUCACGGAGACGGCGAAGGUGCGGGUGAGGGUGAAACGGUGGGGUAAGAGCCCACCAGCGCUUCGGGUGACCGGAGCGGCUAGGUAAACCCCACCGGGAGCAAGACCAAGAGGACCGGUUUCGGCCGGUCUGCGCUGACGGACUGCUCGUCCUAUGUCAGCGGGUAGGUUGCCAGAGCGGCGCAGCAAUGCGUCGCCUAGAUAGAUGGCCGCCAGGGUUUCGGCCCGACAGGAUCCGGCUUAUGUGCCGGCUCAUUCG